rnacentral:rRNA from 1 species
GACGAGGGAUCCUAGCGUUGUUCGGAAUCAUUGGGCGUAAAGCGGGUGUAGGUGGCUAUGUAAGUCAGGUGUGAAAGCCCGGGGCUCAACCUCGGAAGUGCACUUGAUACUGCGUAGCUUGAGUGCGGGAGAGGCUAUUAGAAUUCCUGGUGUAGUGGUGAAAUACGUAGAUAUCAGGAGGAAUACCGGAGGCGAAGGCGGAUAGCUGGCCCGACACUGACACUCAGACCCGAAAGCGUGGGGAUCAAAC